rnacentral:lncRNA from 1 species
CUCACCACAGUGGACACCUUCAUGGGUACCUGGAAGUUAGUGGAUAGCAGGAAUUUCGAUGACUACAUGAAGUCUCUUGGUGUGGGUUUUGCUACCAAACAGGCGGCCAAUAUUACCAAGCCUAUCACAGUCAUCGAAGUGAAUGUGGACACAAUCACCAUAAAAACACAAAGCGUCUUCCAGAAUAGGGAGGUUAGCUUCGAGCUGGGAGUGAAUUUCAAUGAGACAACAGCAGAUGACAGGAAAGUCAAGUCCAUCGUGAUGCUGGAUGGAGGCAAAUUUGUCCACGUGCAGAAUUGGAAUGGACAAGAGACAACACUUGUACGGGAAAUAGUUGAUGAGAAACUCAUCCUGCCGCUCACCCACUGCAGUGCGGUUUGCAAUCGUACUUACAAGGAAGAGGCAUGA